GCAUCCAUAGCUCAGCUGGAUAGAGCAACGUUUUCUAAACCGUAGGUCAUAAGUUCGAAUCCUAUUGGGUGUA
rnacentral:tRNA from 1 species